CGUGUUUUGCUUAUCAGCUGAGUUGACAAGUGAAAAUUUGGGAGUAAAAUUUUUCUAAAAAAGCUUUGAAAAUUGUAAAAAUAUCACGCAAAUUCAGAGUCCUCAAUCGUUACGAGGUUUUUGUACACAGAGUAAUUUGAUAAUUGAACAAACAAACAUGUUUCGGUCGUCAAAUUUCGAUAAAAGUUUGGAGAAUGCCACCAGCCACCUUCAGCUGGAACCGGACUGGCAGUCCAUCAUGGUAAUCUGCGACGCGAUCCGGCAGACCGAUGUCUCGGCCAAGUACGCGGUCCAGGCGAUCAAGAAGAAGCUCUUUUCGCCGAACCCGCACACGGCCCAGUACGCGCUGCUGGUGCUCGAGAGCGUGGUCAAGAACUGCGGCGCUCCGGUGCACGACGAAAUCUCCAACAAGGCCAACUGCGAGAUGUUCCAGCAGCUGGUCAACAACACCCCGCACGAGGAGGUCCGCGCCAAGAUGCUGGAGCUGAUCCAGGCGUGGGCGUGUGCGUUCCGUUCGGUGUUCAAGUACCGCUCGAUUCGGGAUACUAUGAACAUUCUGAAAAGCGAAGGCCACAAGUUCCCGGAGUUGAAGGAAGCCGACGCCAUGUUCACCUCGGAGAACGCCCCGGACUGGGCCGACGGCGAGGUGUGCCACCGAUGCCGGGUCGGGUUUUCGUUCACCCAGCGCAAGCACCACUGCCGCAACUGUGGCCAGGUGUUCUGCCAGCAGUGCUCGUCCAAGAACAGCACGCUGCCCAAGUUUGGCAUCGAGAAGGAGGUGCGCGUUUGUGAAGGCUGCUACACCCAGCUGCAGCGUCCGGUGGGAACGCUGCAGAAGAAGCCAACCGAGGAGGAAGAUCUGCCGGCGGAAUAUCUGAGCAGUUCGUUGGCCCAGCAGACGCAGGCUCCGGUGGCGCGGAAAACCGAGGAGGAACUUAGGGAGGAGGAAGAGUUGCAGUUGGCGCUGGCGCUGAGUCAAUCGGAAGCGGAAACGAAGAAGAACUCGACGGUGGCGCGCCGUCCGACGUUCCACAAGUCGCCGAGCCCGGAACCGGUCAAGGUGCAGCGCAGUCCGAGCCCGGUUGAGGAACCGCCGGCGGAUCCCGAGCUGGCACGUUAUCUGAACCGUAACUAUUGGGAGCAACGCCAGCUGGCGGAUUCGCCGGCCUCGCCGUCGGCCCCGAGUCCUAUGCCGAGUCCGAUGCCGCUGCAGAACAACAGUUUGGUGAUUCCGAAAAUUGGCGAUGACGUUGAGAUAAAUGAGUUUUCCAACUCGAUGAAGACUCAGGUGGAGAUCUUCGUCAACCGGAUGAAGUCCAACUCGAGCCGUGGGCGGAGCAUUUCGACGGACAGCUCCGUGCAGACGCUGUUCAUGAACUUGACUUCGCUGCACUCGCGGCUGUUGACCUUCAUCAAGGAUAUGGACGACAAGCGCAUGUGGUACGAACAGCUGCAGGACAAGCUGACUCAGAUUAAGGACUCACGCGCUGCGUUGGACGUUUUACGCCAGGAACACCAGGAUAAGUUGCGUCGCAUUGCGGAAGAGCAGGAACGCCAGAAGCAGCUGCAGAUGGCCCAAAAGCUGGAAAUUAUGCGCAAGAAGAAGCAAGAGUACCUUCAAUACCAACGCCAACUCGCGCUUCAACGCAUCCAAGAGCAAGAGCGUGAAAUGCAAAUGCGUCAGGAGCAGCAAAAGGCCCAAUAUCGCAUGGGAACCGCCUUCCCGUUCAUGUCUCCGCCGGCCCCAGGUCAAGGACCGCAAGGAUCGCCGGUUCACUAUCCCGGCUACGGCUAUCAACAAAUUCCCCCCACGGGAACACUUCCCCACUACGGACCACCGGGAUCGGGACAACCCGGCAUGCCACCCCAAAUGGGUCAACAGCUGUUCUCACCACAGCACGGACCUCAGCCGCCGUACAUGCCACCGGGAAUGCCACAAGGCCCAGAUAACGGACCCCAACAGCAACAACAAAUGGCCCCACCCGGAAUGAACAUGAUGCCCGGACAAAUGCCAAACGGUGUCCCCAUGCCUCCAGGGGGUGUCCCCCCUCCCAUGAUGACCGGACCACCCCAACAACCCCAGCAGCAGCAGCAGCAGCCGCAAGGACCACCACCCCAGGGUAUGCCCAUGAAUCCCGGAAUGCCACCGCAGCAGCUGGGACCCGAUCCGAACGUGGGCCAGCAGCAGCCUCCGCAGAUUCACCAACAGCAGCAGCAGCAGGUUCCUCCUCAGCAGAUGCCCCAGCAACAACCCGUUGUACCGCCUCCGGUUCAGGUGGCUCCGCCACAAGUUGUUGCACCGGCGCCAGCAGUGGCCGUUGCACCUCCCGCUGCAGCGCCUGCGGCACCGUCGGCACCGGAACCGGCCACGGCUGAGCUGAUCAGCUUUGAUUGAGGUGGAUUGCAGGGCAGUGGAACAGAUAAGACGAAUUUGCAACUAGAUGAAUGCAUACAUCUCCCAAUCGAAGUAUGAAAAACGAAUAUUGUGUUGUUUGUUGGAAAGAAAAUCGCACUAAAUAUAUGUAAUUGCCGUAUUACUGUUUAUUAUUCGCGGUAGAUAUUGCAACACGAUGGAAAGAGUUAGUUUCGAUGGGAUGCCACUUGAUUUGAUUGUGUUAUUUGAGAAUAUCAUAAACUGUGAUAUUUUCAAAAAAACACGAUCGGAUUGGUGGUUUAAAUUUAAUUUCGGUUGGAAAUUUUAAGAGAAAGGAACAAUACUACAGUUCAUCAUUAGAUUAUUUUUAAGCACGGCAUAGCAAUAUUCAACAACAAACUCAUAUUAUUUCCUAACCUAUUCCAAUAAAAUGCUUACUCAAAUUAAUCAACUUCA